rnacentral:rRNA from 1 species
GAAUGCUGACAUAAGUAACGAUAAAGCGGGUGAAAAGCCCGCUCGCCGGAAGACCAAGGGUUCCUGUCCAACGUUAAUCGGGGCAGGGUGAGUCGACCCCUAAGGCGAGGCCGAAAGGCGUAGUCGAUGGGAAACAGGUUAAUAUUCCUGUACUUGGUGUUACUGCGAAGGGGGGACGGAGAAGGCUAUGUUAGCCGGGCGACGGUUGUCCCGGUUUAAGCAUGUAGGCUGGUUGUCCAGGCAAAUCCGGAUAAUCAAGGCUGAGGUGUGAUGACGAG